ACGGGUGAGUAACACGUGAGCAACCUGCCCUGGACUCUGGGAUAAGCGCUGGAAACGGCGUCUAAUACUGGAUAUGAGACGUGAUCGCAUGGUCGUGUUUGGAAAGAUUUUUCGGUCUGGGAUGGGCUCGCGGCCUAUCAGCUUGUUGGUGAGGUAAUGGCUCACCAAGGCGUCGACGGGUAGCCGGCCUGAGAGGGUGACCGGCCACACUGGGACUGAGACACGGCCCAGACUCCUACGGGAGGCAGCAGUGGGGAAUAUUGCACAAUGGGCGAAAGCCUGAUGCAGCAACGCCGCGUGAGGGAUGACGGCCUUCGGGUUGUAAACCUCUUUUAGCAGGGAAGAAGCGAAAGUGACGGUACCUGCAGAAAAAGCGCCGGCUAACUACGUGCCAGCAGCCGCGGUAAUACGUAGGGCGCAAGCGUUAUCCGGAAUUAUUGGGCGUAAAGAGCUCGUAGGCGGUUUGUCGCGUCUGCUGUGAAAUCCCGAGGCUCAACCUCGGGCCUGCAGUGGGUACGGGCAGACUAGAGUGCGGUAGGGGAGAUUGGAAUUCCUGGUGUAGCGGUGGAAUGCGCAGA
rnacentral:rRNA from 5 species